GCGGUUAACGGUUAAUAAAAGAUAACGCUUGUACCGAAGACAAGUCAGUAGUCACCCCGACCGCUUCUCGACCGCCGAUCGAGUUUGUUCGAUUGAGUUCGUCGGUCCUAAAAGCGUUCGAACCAAAGAUAAAUGCGACACAAAGUCAACUCCUUUACAUCUUUCAUCUUUUCCGUUUGAUCUUCCUAACAUCCGCUUCGACGAAUAUCAAGAUUAGAUUGUGCGAUACCACAAGUUUGGAUCAUAUUGGAAGAGAACGCCAUGAUCCAAUUCACUACUGGAACAAACUUCGACGAGCGUCAUUGACUCAUCGAGUUUACGCUUUCUGAGAGUGGCUUUAAAAAAGUUGGUUUGUAAACUGAUCCGAGGGAAUACAACGAGUACGAGAGAAGAUAUGCCAUCAUUUCUUCCUAGAUAAAGGAUGUCACGACGACGGCGACGAGGACGAGGGCGUCGAUGAUGAAAACUAGUCUUGAUAAACAGGAGGCGAAUUAAAUGAAAAAUCGAUUCCAUAGCCCGAGAAAUGAAUAUCGCGACGUUCGUGCCUAAAUGUUUAGGAUCACCGGCAAUUUCUUCAAGUUGAUUUCAAGUCGUGCGUCUCCUAGAAGGGAAAAUAUUCACUUAUAGUAAUUUCGAUGGGACGAACGAUGCGUAAUGACGAGCGGCGGUGGCGGCGACGACGGCGUGACUACUAAAUUCAAUUCGGAUUGGGUAAGAAUGGUUGAGCUGCAUGCGGCAGCUGGUGCCAGGAUGACUGAGAGUUUAGACAGAGCCAGAUCGUCAAAUCGUCUACACUAUGCCAUCUUGACGAUCCUGGACACGAUAUUCUCCGCGCUCGUAGCUGCGCCGGCGGUAGUCGGUUAUUGGCGCGGCACUUGGGAGCUCAGCGAUUUCUACGUCUAUCCGGACGAGCCGGUGUUGAGCAGUUUCGCGUCGAUCACGAUCGGUUUCACCGGCCUCUUUGCCUUUAGCGUGUUACAGCACGGUCUGGAUGACGUUCUGCAUCCGGAUAAGCAUCGGCUGUCCUAUUAUCUCGGCUCGCGAUUUUACACCGGCGUUUUCGGCUUCUGCUGCGUAAACGCCUGGCGUGGUGCCUGGAAGGCCUUGGACAUCUAUACAGAGCUGACGCCUGGCACCGUCUCCGCUACGACCAUCGUUAGUCUUCUCGCGCUUGGUAUUAUGCGCGCUGUCCGCAACGUAUCCGCGCCACCCUUCUCCCUCGUUCUCGACUCGUGUCCGGGUUACUUUCAAGUGCAGACUAUGUUUCGCGUUAACAUAUCGCAAUAUCUAUCACGUGCGGUUACAGAAUACGAGGGACUGGUCGCUGUACUUACUGGAUUGCGCCUUCAGUGUCGGUGUCGUGGGCACGUUGGUUGUCUUCGUUUGGAGAGGAGUUUGGAUCUUGUUCGACAUAUACCUGUUUCCAGAAAAUGCCGAGUAUUCUGCCAUUGGUUCACUGGCUAUCGGGUAUUUUAUAGUGGCCGUGACGUUUUGUCUACAACCGUUGAUGCGAUAUAUCUGCGCGCGUCUUCAGGGUCUUAUUCGCUUGAUGGUUGCGGAUGCCUUUUUGUUUUUGAGUUUUUUGGGGACCGUGAACGUCUGGCGCGGUAUAUGGAACGCGCUCGAUCUGUGGCUGCUGCCGGACAAUCUGGAAUUGUCUUGCUGGAUCACUCACGUUGGCUGUUUUGUUUUUCUGGUCCUUCUUAAUUGUAGCAAUACCAUUCUAGUUCGUGGCGUUUAUAUUGAUGCCGAAGAAGAGAAAGGACAGUGUGUCGUGUUUCCAUGUCACUACCUUCGAUUAUUCUUUAAGAUCGAACGCGAAAAGAAGCAAGCACGACGGCAGAAACUGUUGGUAGCCUCCCAAGAUUUCAUCGGUCAUACCGAUGUAAAUGAGAAGGAUGGUGAAAAUGGGACCCUUUUACCAAA
rnacentral:misc_RNA from 1 species